UGGCAAGAGUGUUUUAUUAUCACGUGUCCCAGAUAAAACAAUUACAUUCUUACUCGCAGCAGCUCAACAGGAUAUGUAAACAUGGUGCCCUGUAAAUAAACGCGAGAGAACAAGAGAAACAGCGCGGAAACAGGCCCUUCGGCCCCUGCAGAUCUGCUCCAACCAGCGAUCACCCCAUACCCUGACACUAUCCUACACACACGAGGGGCAAUUUACAAUUCUUUACUGAAGCCAGGGGGUGAAGGAAAGAGUGUUCACGUCGCGGCCCUGUUUCCUCCAAUCUCUCCACCACUAUGUACAAGAAGCACAAGUAACGACAAGACAGGCACCAUUGUAUGCAGAUGCCGAGACGUGUGUCCAGCUUUGGCUGAACAACUUCUAAUCUAGUGCGUGGACUCGAGGAGAAGAAGAAGACUGAGGCCAGUUAGACUACAAAUCAGCACGCCUUUGGAGUGUGCGAGGAAACCGGAGCACCCUGAGAAAACCCACGCAGAUCACAGGGAGAACGUACAAACUCCGUACAGACAGCACCCGUAGACAGGAUCGAACCCGGGUCUCACCGGGAUUAUAUUCAGUUCCAAAAUGUGUGCCUUCUUGGUCAAAAACUUGCCCCAAAUGAAUAAAACAUUGACGUCAAACUCU